rnacentral:rRNA from 1 species
GGUUAAUACCUGAGAAAAGUGGACGUUACUCACAGAAUAAGCACCGGCUAACUCUGUGCCAGCAGCCGCGGUAAUACAGAGGGUGCGAGCGUUAAUCGGAUUUACUGGGCGUAAAGCGCGCGUAGGUGGUUAAUUAAGUCAAAUGUGAAAUCCCCGAGCUUAACUUGGGAAUUGCAUUCGAUACUGGUUAGCUAGAGUAUGGGAGAGGAUGGUAGAAUUCCAGGUGUAGCGGUGAAAUGCGUAGAGAUCUGGAGGAAUACCGAUGGCGAAGGCAGCCAUCUGGCCUAAUACUGACACUGAGGUGCGAAAGCAUGGGGAGCAAACAGGAUUAGAUACCCUGGUAGUCCAUGCCGUAAACGAUGUCUACUAGCCGUUGGGGGAUUUGAUCCUUUAGUGGCGCAGCUAACGCGAUAAGUAGACCGCCUGGGGAGUACGGUCGCAAGACUAAAACUCAAAUGAAUUGACGGGGGCCCGCACAAGCGGUGGAGCAUGUGGUUUAAUUCGAUGCAACGCGAAGAACCUUACCUGGCCUUGACAUAGUAGAGACUUUCCAGAGAUGGAUUGGUGCCUUCGGGAAUCUACAUACAGGUGCUGCAUGGCUGUCGUCAGCUCGUGUCGUGAGAUGUUGGGUUAAGUCCCGCAACGAGCGCAACCCUUUUCCUUACUUGCCAGCAUUUCGGAUGGGAACUUUAAGGAUACUGCCAGUGACAAACUGGAGGAAGGCGGGGACGACGUCAAGUCAUCAUGGCCCUUACGGCCAGGGCUACACACGUGCUACAAUGGUCGGUACAAAGGGUUGCUACACAGCGAUGUGAUGCUAAUCUCAAAAAGCCGAUCGUAGUCCGGAUCGCAGUCUGCAACUCGACUGCGUGAAGUCGGAAUCGCUAGUAAUCGCGGAUCAGAAUGCCGCGGUGAAUACGUUCCCGGGCCUUGUACACACCGCCCGUCACACCAUGGGAGUUUGUUGCACCAGAAGUAGGUAGUCUAACCGCAAGGAGGACGCUACACGG